rnacentral:rRNA from 1 species
GAUGAACGCUAGCGGCAGGCCUAAUACAUGCAAGUCGAACGAGAUUAAGAGGCUUGCUUCUUAUGAAAGUGGCGCACGGGUGCGUAACGCGUAUGCAACCUACCUUAAUCAGGGGGAUAGCCCGAAGAAAUUCGGAUUAAGACCGCAUAAAAACACAGGAUAGCAUUAUCCAAUGUUCAAAUAUUUAUAGGAUUAAGAUGGGCAUGCGUGUCAUUAGCUAGUUGGCGGGGUAACGGCCCACCAAGGCGACGAUGACUAGGGGAUCUGAGAGGAUGACCCCCCACACUGGUACUGAGACACGGACCAGACUCCUACGGGAGGCAGCAGUAAGGAAUAUUGGUCAAUGGAGGGAACUCUGAACCAGCCAUGCCGCGUGCAGGAAGACAGCCCUCUGGGUCGUAAACUGCUUUUAUUCGGGAAUAAACCUUUCUACGUGUAGGAAGCUGAAUGUACCGAAGGAAUGAGGAUCGGCUAACUCCGUG